GAAAAUAAAAAUGUUUAUUUAAAUCAUACUUCUAAGCACACUUUCUUAUUUCAGUUCAUAUACAGCCUAAAGUUUUUAGAGCUGGUCAAUCCAGUAAGAACACUACAAAUCCAAAUGAUUUGAUAAAAAUCUUGGCAGCAGAGGAGGAGAGGAGGAGAAAACAAGAUUCCAAGCCACUAACACACACUUCCUGUUUCAAACGCAGACACCAAGUGGCUUCAGCAUGAGUCAGCGGCAAACACCCUCAAGUCAUGAGCUGGAACGCUCAGAAACGAUAUGUACCUUCAAUCAAAUUACAGAAUUAACUAGGGGAAAAUGAGGAAGAACUUUAGGUACAGACAGCGAGAGAUCUUCAAAAUACUAUUAAAAGAAGAAAGCACUCUCGGUGUAAAAAAGAAGCCGAGGCGAGCAGAUCACUUGACUUCAGGAGUUCAAG
rnacentral:lncRNA from 1 species